GCUACUGGCAACAUAAUUAAGUUGCUUUCUCACGCUAUUAGCUUUGCUUUUGCACUAGUUAUUUCUGUUCAUAUAUGUAGAUUGAAGUUUCUGGCAAACUUAAGUUCAGUAGAAGUUUCUGCAUAAACUGUGAUACUUUUGCCCCAACAAAUAUCAGUAAACCAUCCUUUUAAAUAUGUUGAACCUGGGAAGCCAUCUUUGUUAAGUUCUCAUUCUACUUUUCCCAUGGUGAUCUUUGCUUCACCAGAUAACAUGCGAACCGAGCCUAACUUAGCUGCUGCAAGAGACUGGAAAUUUCUCUUCGAUAACAAUGGUUCAGGAUUUUCCAUACAUGUAUAGCACCCCUAAGUUGUACCAGGUUUCAGAUUGUCUCAAAAUCGCCCUAUGCCGAGCGUAUGAGUUCGACCACACAUCGUCCUAUGGAUGAGCAAGGGUAGAGAUGGAACGGGAGGGUAUCCGCGUCCUAGUGGUGGCAGAGUCGGAACCCCGAGGUGUUUGGCAGAGGCGGAGGAACACACCCAACACAUCUGCGUCGACAUGAUAACUCCAGUCCUAAGGUUUGUGCAUCAAAAGGGGGAAGCAGUACCAGUGUGUUGGUGUCAGCUUGAAGCAACAUAAAAUGUUAUAAGUUAGCUGCGGCUUCAGCUGCUGUAGUGGCAUGCGGGAUUUAUUGGACAUGCAACUAAGUUUGCUUCAAAAGGUGUUUUCCUGUUGUAUGAAACGUGAGUUUUCCUAUCCAUCGAAGUUGUGCACCAUCAUGGCGAACUUGCUUAUUGCCGUGCCUAAGUUGCCUACUAGUAGCACUAAGUCGGGUAACAUCAUUGUUGUAGAGCUGCGAGCCAUUGUCGUGAAUGUUUACCGUUGGGCCUAAGUUGUGCAUUGUUUGUCGUGGAGUUGUUUUUUUGUUGCUACAAAGUUGUUUACCUGAAAAACUAGUAGUAAAAGUUGUGAUUCUUGGUA